UACGGGGGGGGCAAGCGUUGUUCGGAAUUACUGGGCGUAAAGGGCUCGUAGGCGGCCAACUAAGUCAGACGUGAAAUCCCUCGGCUUAACCGGGGAACUGCGUCUGAUACUGGAUGGCUUGAGAUUGGGAGAGGGAUGCGGAAUUCCAGGUGUAGCGGUGAAAUGCGUAGAGAUGUGGAGGAACACCAGUGGCGAAGGCGACUUUCUGGUCUGUAACUGACACUGAGGCGCGAAAGCGUGGGGAGCAAACAGG
rnacentral:rRNA from 1 species